rnacentral:rRNA from 1 species
UACGUAGGGAGCAAGCGUUGUCCGGAAUCAUUGGGCGUAAAGCGCGCGUAGGUGGCUUCAUAAGUCCGUUGUGAAAGUCAAAGGCUCAACCUUUGAAAGCCGAUGGAUACUGUGGAGCUAGAGUACGGAAGAGGCGAGUGGAAUUCCUGGUGUAGCGGUGGAAUGCGCAGAUAUCAGGAGGAACACCAAUAGCGAAGGCAGCUCGAUGGGACGUUACUGACACUAAGGCGCGAAAGCGUGGGGAGCGAACAGG